UGGUUAGAGGAUACAUUCCUAUCUUACCUGGAUGAGUGGGACACCAGUGUAAAAAGUCAAGAAGUAACAAAUGCUGAGAAAAAAGCUAUGACACUGAGCACUGAAACAUUAGAUGGAUUGAGAAUGACUACAAAGUCAUUCAUUGAGAUAGUGCAGUACCUUUUCACACUCCCAGACGUAAAGGUCUUCUUUAGCAGGCGCAUAUGUCAAGAUCCUCUUGAAAGUUUUUGGUUGUCAGCGCCAAAUUGAAAGAACUCACGACAAUCCAACUGUUAAGGAAUUUCAACAGAAUACAUAGACCCUCCGAGUUGUCAACACUGUAUGCAGAGGUUCUGUCAAAUCGAAUUGUAGAGGAAAUGACGAUUUAAAUGGAUCAGAAUAUGACAGUCAACCACUGCAAAAAAGAAGGAAAAAGAUUGAUAACAACAUGACACAUACUACAGUGACAGUAAAUGCUUCUACCACCACCACGACUACUACUACUACAGAUGAUCCCAUUGAGAAUUCAGAUAGUGUCGUCAAUGAAGAUGUACAAAUGUGUGAAGUAAUAAUCAAAGGAGUUAGAGUGUUGCUUGACGACAACAGCCUUCACAUACAAUGUACAUAUGACACCACAAAAGGAAUCACUAAUCAAAGCAGCAAAUACCUUCAUUCAGUGGGCAGUACUUCCAUAUAAACAAAUCUUCACAAUUUUUUCACGAUACCUUGUAAGCAGUAUCAAAUCUUGCUUCACUACAAAGAGCAGCUUACAAUCAGAGAGGGAGUACAUUUGUACACAGUUCCAUGCUCUAAGGACCUCCGAUGCUUUUCAUGCUACUUGGUCAACGUUUCUGAAGCUAUCAAUCAGAUGCAACUCAGGCCCAGCUUUCUACCAGUAUAUAACUCAGGGCAUUCUUACCAUUUAU